rnacentral:rRNA from 1 species
AGGUCCCGAGCGUUAUCCGGAUUUAUUGGGCGUAAAGCGAGCGCAGGCGGUUAGAUAAGUCUGAAGUUAAAGGCUGUGGCUUAACCAUAGUACGCUUUGGAAACUGUUUAACUUGAGUGCAGAAGGGGAGAGUGGAAUUCCAUGUGUAGCGGUGAAACGCGUAGAUAUAUGGAGGAACACCGGUGGCGAAAGCGGCUCUCUGGUCUGUAACUGACGCUGAGGCUCGAAAGCGUGGGGAGCAAACAGGAUUAGAUACCCUGGUAGUCAAGGGCGAAUUCGC